CCUACGGGUGGCAGCAGUCGAGAAUCAUUCACAAUGGGGGAAACCCUGAUGGUGCGACGCCGCGUGGGGGAAUGAAGGUCUUCGGAUUGUAAACCCCUGUCAUGUGGGAGCAAAUUAAAAAGAUAGUACCACAAGAGGAAGAGCCGGCUAACUCGGUGCCAGCAGCCGCGGUACUACAGAGGGCUCAAGCGGUGUUCGGAAUCACUGGGCGUAAAGCGUGCGUAGGCUGUUUCGUAAGUCGUGUGUGAAAGGCGCGGGCUCAACCCGCGGACGGCACAUGAUACUGCGAGACUAGAGUAAUGGAGGGGGAACCGGAAUUCUCGGUGUAGCAGUGAAAUGCGUAGAUAUCGAGAGGAACACUCGUGGCGAAGGCGGGUUCCUGGACAUUAACUGACGCUGAGGCACGAAGGCCAGGGGAGCGAAAGGGAUUAGAUACCCCUGUAGUC
rnacentral:rRNA from 1 species